GACGAACGCUUGCGGCGUGCCUAAGAAAUGCAAGUCGAGCGAGGAUUCACGCUGACCGAAGCUUCGGCAGAGGUCUUGUGAAGCCUAGCGGCGAACGGUCGCGUAACACGUAAGCAACCUGCCCUGAAGUGUGGGAUAGCCCUCCGAAAGGAGGAUUAAUACCGCAUGUGGAUACGAUGUCGCAUGGCAACGUAUCUAAAGCAGCAAUGCGCUUCAGGAUGGGCUUGCGGCCUAUCAGCUAGUUGGUGGGGUAACGGCCUACCAAGGCGACGACGGGUAGCUGGUCUGAGAGGAUGGUCAGCCGGAUUGGGACUGAGACACGGCCCAGACUCCUACGGGGGGCAGCAAUUAGGAAUCUUGCGCAAUGGGGGAAACCCUGACGCAGCGACGCCGCGUGCAGGAAGGAGCCCUUCGGGGUGUAAACUGCUGUCGUGUAGGGAGAAGGGUACUAAGGUGAACAAUCUUAGUACUUGACGGUACUACAGGAGGAAGCCCAGG
rnacentral:rRNA from 1 species